AUUGAACGCUGGCGGCAUGCUUUACACAUGCAAGUCGAACGGUAACGGGUUAAGCUGACGAGUGGCGAACGGGUGAGUAAUGCAUCGGAACGUGCCCGAUCGUGGGGGAUAACGCAGCGAAAGCUGCGCUAAUACCGCGUACGAUCUGAGGAUGAAAGCGGGGGACCGUAAGGCCUCGCGCGAUCGGAGCGGCCGAUGUCAGAUUAGGUAGUUGGUGGGGUAAAGGCUCACCAAGCCGACGAUCUGUAGCUGGUCUGAGAGGACGACCAGCCACACUGGGACUGAGACACGGCCCAGACUCCUACGGGAGGCAGCAGUGGGGAAUUUUGGACAAUGGGCGAAAGCCUGAUCCAGCAAUGCCGCGUGCAGGAAGAAGGCCUUCGGGUUGUAAACUGCUUUUGUACGGAGCGAAAAGGCUCUCUCUAAUACAGGGGGCUCAUGACGGUACCGUAAGAAUAAGCACCGGCUAACUACGUGCCAGCCGCCGCCGUAA
rnacentral:rRNA from 1 species